rnacentral:rRNA from 1 species
AUGAUCCAUUGGCAUCCUUUGGAUAAUAAGUUGCAAGCUCAUUAUCCUGAAAGUCGAAUUAAAUCAAUUCAAAUGGACAAUGCUGCAGAAUUUUCCUCACGUGCUUUCAAUGAUUAUUGCAUGGCUUUGGGGAUUGAAGUUCAGCCAUAUGUCCAUACACAAAAUGGUUUGGCUGAAGCAUUGAUUAAGAGGAUCGAACUCAUUGUAGGACCUUUGUUGAUGAAUUGCAACUUGCCAACUUCUUGUUGGGGUCACACUGUUUUACACACUAUUGACUUGAUACAAUUGAGGCCAACUGCAUAUCACAGUUCUUUCCCUCUGGAAUUGGUAUGUGGAAAUCCUCAAGGCAUUUCCCAUCUACGUAAGUUUGGAUGUGUUGCGUACAUCCCAAUCUCAUCACCACAGCGGACAUUUAUGGGCCCACACAGGAAGUUGGGGAUCUAUGUGGGGUACAAAUCACCGUCGAUUAUUAAGUACCUGGAACCCCUGAUUGGGGAUCUGUUCACAUGCCGUCACGCUGAUUGCAUAUUUAAUGAGGAACAUUUUUCGGCAUUAGGGGGAGAUUUCAAGUACCAGAAAGAAUGCCCAAAAAUUGAUUGGAAUGCUCAUUCCAUUUCAUCUUCUGAUCCACGUACCCAUGAGACCGAACUUCAAGUUCGGAAGAUCUUUAAUUUGCAACAUCUUGCAAAUAAUUUGCCAGAUUCAUUUACUGAUUUGAAAGGUGUUACAAAAUCCUUAAACCCGGCCAGAAAAGCGCCAGAAAGAGUGGAGGUACCAAUAAAAACCACUCAACUCCCUAUUCCUAAAAAGAGGGGGAGUAGUAUGGCCUCUGACCCGGAGCAUGCUUCUAGCAAGCAGCAAAGGAAAUCAAGGAGAAAAACCUUGGAGUCAGUAAAUGCAGGUCAACUCAACGUUGACAAACACUUGAUGGGUAGUUUACACCCAGUGGAAGGGCAACCUCCACAACCUAGUUCUAGUGUGCACAAACUGACUGGGACAUCGGAACACCCAGACUCGAUCGUAUUGGGAAAUCACGAAGAGUCACUAGGGGAGCAGGAAAUUUCCAUCAACUAUGUUGAUUUUGGAGAAUCAUUUGACCGUAAGACUACGACUGUCGACAUAUAUUUUGCUGAAAAGAUUGUAGAUACCCUUCUCACUGAUCAUGAUCCAAGGUCUAUCGUUGAGUGCCAAAAGCGCUCCGACUGGCCUAAAUGGAAGGAUGCAAAGCAGAAAUUGCCUCGCUUAACAAAAGAAAGAUAUUCAUUGAAGCAAUACCAACACCCUCCAGUGUUUUCCUUGUGGAAUUCAAAUGGGUUUUUCUGCGGAAACAGAAUGAGAACAAUGAGGUGGUGA